CAAAAUGAGAGUUUGAUCCUGGCUCAGGACGAACGCUGGCGGCGUGCCUAAUACAUGCAAGUCGAGCGAGCUGAAUUCAAGGAUCCCUUCGGGGUGACUUGUUGGACGCGAGCGGCGGAUGGGUGAGUAACACGUGGGCAACCUGCCCUAAAGACUGGGAUACCACUUGGAAACAGGUGCUAAUACCGGAUAACAACGACUUUCACAUGAAAGACGCUUGAAAGGCGGCUUUAAGCUGUCACUUUAGGAUGGGCCCGCGGUGCAUUAGCUAGUUGGUGAGGUAACGGCCCACCAAGGCAAUGAUGCAUAGCCGAGUUGAGAGACUGAUCGGCCACAUUGGGACUGAGACACGGCCCAAACUCCUACGGGAGGCAGCAGUAGGGAAUCUUCCACAAUGGACGCAAGUCUGAUGGAGCA
rnacentral:rRNA from 1 species